GAGGAAUAUUGGUCAAUGGGCGAGAGCCUGAACCAGCCAAGUAGCGUGCAGGAAGACGGCCCUAUGGGUUGUAAACUGCUUUUAUGUGGGGAUAAAGUGAGCUACGUGUAGUUUAUUGCAGGUACCACAUGAAUAAGGACCGGCUAAUUCCGUGCCAGCAGCCGCGGUAAUACGGAAGGUCCAGGCGUUAUCCGGAUUUAUUGGGUUUAAAGGGAGCGUAGGCCGUGGAUUAAGCGUGUUGUGAAAUGUAGACGCUCAACGUCUGACUUGCAGCGCAUACUGGUUUCCUUGAGUACGCACAACGUUGGCGGAAUUCGUCGUGUAGCGGUGAAAUGCUUAGAUAUGACGAAGAACUCCGAUUGCGAAGGCAGCUGACGGGAGCGCAACUGACGCUGAAGCUCGAAGGUGCGGGUAUCGAACAGGAUUAGAUACCCUGGUAGUCCGCACAGUAAACGAUGGAUGCCCGUUGUUAGUUCACUUAAGAAUUAGCGACCAAGCGAAAGCAUUAAGCAUCCCACCUGGGGAGUACGCCGGCAACGGUG
rnacentral:rRNA from 1 species